rnacentral:Y_RNA from 1 species
GGCUGGUCCCAAGGUAGAGUUAUCUCACUUGAUUGUUCACAGUCAGUUACACAUUGAACUCCUUGUUUUACUACUUUACUCCCUCCUCACUACUGCACUUGACUAGUUUAAA